CCUACGGGAGGCAGCAGUGAGGAAUAUUGGUCAAUGGACGCAAGUCUGAACCAGCCAUGCCGCGUGCAGGAAGACGGCUCUAUGAGUUGUAAACUGCUUUUGUACGAAGGUAAACGCAGAUACGCGUAUCUUUCUGAAAGUAUCGUACGAAUAAGGAUCGGCUAACUCCGUGCCAGCAGCCGCGGUAAUACGGAGGAUUCAAGCGUUAUCCGGAUUUAUUGGGUUUAACGGGUGCGUAGGCGGGCGGAUAAGUUAGAGGUGAAAUCCCGAGGCUCAACUUCGGAAUUGCCUCUGAUACUGUUCGGCUAGAGAGUAGUUGCGGUAGGCGGAAUGUAGGGUGUAGCGGUGAAAUGCUUAGAGAUCAUACAGAACACCGAUGGCGAAGGCAGCUUACCAAGCUACUUCUGACGUUGAGGCACGAAAGCGUGGGGAGCAAACAGGAUUAGAUACCCGAGUAGUC
rnacentral:rRNA from 1 species